rnacentral:ncRNA from 2 species
GGGUGUUCCGAGGGGAGCUCCGGUAGGGAGCUGAGACACCACACCAUUCGCGACGUGGGAACCCUUCGAACCUGAUCCGGGUCGUGCCGGCGUAGGGAAUGGAACCACAUGCGCGC